rnacentral:rRNA from 1 species
GAGUUUGAUCCUGGCUCAGAUUGAACGCUGGCGGCAUGCUUUACACAUGCAAGUCGAACGGCAGCGCGGGGCAACCUGGCGGCGAGUGGCGAACGGGUGAGUAAUACAUCGGAACGUACCCAGGAGUGGGGGAUAACGUAGCGAAAGUUACGCUAAUACCGCAUACGUCCUAAGGGAGAAAGCAGGGGAUCGCAAGACCUUGUGCUCAUGGAGCGGCCGAUGUCUGAUUAGCUAGUUGGUGAGGUAAAGGCUCACCAAGGCGACGAUCAGUAGCUGGUCUGAGAGGACGACCAGCCACACUGGGACUGAGACACGGCCCAGACUCCUACGGGAGGCAGCAGUGGGGAAUUUUGGACAAUGGGGGCAACCCUGAUCCAGCGGUGCCGCGUGAGUGAAGAAGGCCUUCGGGUUGUAAAGCUCUUUUGUCAGGGAAGAAACUGUUGUGGCUAAUAUCCACGGCUAAUGACCGAAUCUGACGAAUAAGCACCGGCUCUCUACGUG